UACGGGGGGGGCAAGCGUUGUUCGGAAUUACUGGGCGUAAAGGGCUCGUAGGCGGCCAACUAAGUCAGACGUGAAAUCCCUCGGCUUAACCGGGGAACUGCAUCUGAUACUGGAUGGCUUGAGAUUGGGAGAGGGAUGCGGAAUUCCAGGUGUAGCGGUGAAAUGCGUAGAUAUCUGGAGGAACACCGGUGGCGAAGGCGGCAUCCUGGACCAACACUGACGCUGAGGAGCGAAAGCGUGGGGAGCGAACAGG
rnacentral:rRNA from 1 species